rnacentral:rRNA from 1 species
AUACGUAGGUGGCAAGCGUUGUCCGGAAUUAUUGGGCGUAAAGCGCAUGUAGGCGGUUUGGUAAGUCGGUCGUGAAAAUGCGGUGCUUAACGCCGAAUGGCGCUCGAAACUGCUUAACUUGAGUGCAGGAGAGGAAAGGGGAUCUCCCAGUGUGGCGGUGAAAUGCGUAGAUAUUGGGAAGGACACCGGUGGCGAAGUGGCUUUCCUGAAUGUGAUUGGAGUCUCAGUUGCUAAAGCCAGGGUAGAGAACGGGAUUAGCGACACCGGUAGCCCUGGCCGUAAUGGAGGAUUUCAGGGGGUGAGAGGUAUGGACUCCUCUCAUGCCGGAGUUUCCGUAAAAAGUACCCCGCCUGGGGAGGACGGCGGCAAGGCUUAAACUCAAAGGAGAGGACGGAA